UCUCAUGUGACAAUGUAUUUUUGAUUAAGAAUGAUAAUGAUGUAAUCCAUAUAUUUAGCACACAUCAAAGAGUUCAGUAGAUAGACCUAUUUGUUAAAGAUAAUAUUGAUAAUCUAGUUUCUUGUAUAGUUAUUCUUUCCAAAUGGAAUGUAGGUGAAGUUUAAGUGGGAGAUCAAACUAGAGAGCGAGUUGGAGGGGGAGGGU
rnacentral:lncRNA from 1 species